CGGUGUUCAACUGGCGUGUCCGCGGGACGUCCUGCCGGUGGGCUUAGCCCGCAAGGGCGGCCCAACUUCAAAUCCCAUCGCGGUGCUCUUCACUGAGUGUCGAGGUGGGCCGGCACGUUUACUUUGAACAAAUUAGAGUGCUUAAAGCAGGCUAAAACUUCGCCUGAAUACUGUGUGCAUGGAAUAAUGGAAUAGGACCUCGGUUCUAUUUUGUUGGUUUUCGGAACCCCGAGGUAAUGAUUAAUAGGAACGGAUGGGGGCAUUCGUAUUGCGACGUUAGAGGUGAAAUUCUUGGAUCGUCGCAAGACGGACAGAAGCGAAAGCAUUUGCCAAAAACGCUUUCAUUGAUCAAGAACGAAAGUUAGAGGUUCGAAGGCGAUCAGAUACCGCCCUAGUUCUAACCAUAAACGAUGCCAGCUAGCGAUCCGUCGACGUUCCUCCGAUGACUCGACGGGCAGCUUCCGGGAAACCAAGGCUUUUGGGUUCCGGGGGAAGUAUGGUUGCAAAGCUGAAACUUAAAGGAAUUGACGGAAGGGCACCACCAGGAGUGGAGCCUGCGGCUUAAUUUGACUCAACACGGGAAACCUCACCAGGCCCGGACACCGGAAGGAUUGACAGAUUGAGAGCUCUUUCUUGAUUCGGUGGGUGGUGGUGCAUGGCCGUUCUUAGUUGGUGGAGCGAUUUGUCUGGUUAAUUCCGAUAACGAACGAGACUCUAGCCUGCUAACUAGGCGUAUUUUCGACAUCUCAAAGGUCCGUCGUCCCGGCCCUCGGGUCGUGGGCGUGCGCGAUUUUUACUGUCGGCGUACUAUCAAUUCUUCUUAGAGGGACAGGUGGCUUCUAGCCGCACGAGAUUGAGCAAUAACAGGUCUGUGAUG
rnacentral:rRNA from 1 species